rnacentral:lncRNA from 1 species
GGUGGCAUCCAGGGUGGCAGCGGCGGCGACUUCGGUGGCCUGUUUCCUGCCGUGGCCUGGUUCCUGCCGUGACCUGGUUCCUGCCUUGGCCUCGUUCCUGCCGGGAGUGAGGUCGGCUUUGGGGGCAGCUAGGGCUGUGUUAGCGGCGGCGGUAGCUUCGUUCCCGCCAGGAAGUAGGGCAGCGGGGAUGGUGUCCGCGUGGGCUUCAGCCGGGGUGGUGCCGGCGGCAGCCUCAUUCCUGCCGCGGGGUAAGGCGGUGGGGCUGGGGUCCGUGUGGGGGGCAGUUAGAGCAGCGGCGGCGGCAGCUACGUUCACGCUGGGCUCCGCACCACCCGGUGUCCGGGAGCUGAGGGUCCUUUUGGCUGCUCCUAUUGCUUGGCGGCUGGGGCGCCGAGCUGUCCGUGGGCGGCCCUCCCCACAAAGGGCAGCGGAGCUGCGUGGUCGCUGGCAGCAGCAGCGGCUGGCCUAUGAGGGCACAGACAUUUGUUGCAGUUCUUGGGGCUUUGUUGUUUUUCCUUGGGCUUUUACCCUUCUUUUCGUUAAUUUUGGAUAAAAUGUCCCCCGUGAUGUAAAGAUUGAGCAAGGAACUUUCGUGAUGUGGGGAGCUUUGCCGAAAGUGCAGGUUGGAUUCUGCUUUUCCUAUGAUGGCGGCUGGAUGAAUCUUCACUGCUGGCCGUGGAAAAGGAUAGAGCAGCUUGUUAGUUGAGUUUUAAAUUUCCCAGUGUUGUUUUUAAAGGUUUUACAUGCAUAGAAGAGGAAUGUUCACCUUAAAUAAGCAUAUGAGCGAUUAACAGGGUAUGUUUUCCUCUGGGAAAGGGAAUUUGGUAGCUCUGACCCAUGUCAGUCUGUGAAUAUUUAGACAUGCAGUGACUUUUUAACAUUUUUUCAUAAAUGUUAUUUGUGAAACAUUUCAUAUAUGUUAUUUAUGAAAUUGUUAUUUACAGUUAUGUUGUUAAUACUCCUUGCCUUUAGUUCCCCGGCAAAUCUUUUUCAUUCCUUGUGAGAAAGUAGACAAUUGAUAGAUUAUCCAAGGAAUGGAGAAAAAUGUGAGUGGGUGAUUUCGGACAAUCCCUGAGAGCUGGCAUUGUAAGAUUCAUCCUAUCCCCAGUAAUAUUUUCAUACAAUAAAUGUGAACACUUUUGAAGACUUUUUAUAGAGAUACAGUUUGGGAAUGAUAUUAAGAUAAGGAAAAGCUGUUGAUUGAUUUCUUAGAUUAACAUUUCUUCCCUCUUCUCUUUUCUCUUUAAAACAGUUUUCCAAGUGAUAACUUCAUCAAAUGGCCAGUGAUAAGCAAAUGUCCGAUGAUGACAGCCCCAGCACCAGCAGUGGCAGUUCAAAGUCGGACCAGGAAGACCCUGCUGCUCCAGAGCCUGAAGAUCAUGAAGAAAGAACCUUCUGCCACCCAGCAGAAGAAGAGCACCAAACUCUCUAGCAAAACCACUGCUAAGUUAUCCACUAGUGCUAAAAGGUAACAUUGUCAGGUUGUCUUCCAAGCAAUUGGAUGCUUUUAUUUUUACAUCAAGAACAAUACUCCAGAAAUACUUCAUGACCAAUUUUAUUUGUACUUGAAUGAAUUGUCAUCCUUUAGGGGACAUGAAAACGUCCUCACUAAAAUUAUGCUUCUAAGCAAACUUAUUCUGUACUUUGGUAAUUUCAGGAAGAGUCCUAGAGACUGAAUUCUCAUCCUGACAGUUUAAGGAGUUGGCCAGGAAAAUUUGUGAAACUGAAUUAGAUGGUAUAUUGGGGAUGUUUCCUUUUGUGAGUUAUACUCUUGAGUGAAAUUAGCACGUGUCCACGUGGGUGUCAGUCCAGGCAUCUGUGGUGGCAGCUUCAUAAAAGGAAAUGUGUCACUUUUCAUGAAAGGAAAUGAUCAAAAAAGUUUAUAUUUGCUAAAAAAUGUUGAAUGUCAGGCCUUGGCUUUUUUUGAAAGCAGAUUUUAAAUUUGCUUAGUUUUACAAACAAGUCUUUAAAUCCUUCAUAAUAGGUAUAAUUUUUUUGUAGUUAUAGUUAUCCCUCCUUGUUCUUGUGAGAACAAAUAAAACUGAAAAGUAGCCAUUAACAAUCUCAGGAGUCACUUUGCUGUUAAAACUUUGCACAUCUUUAAAACUCGUGGAUGUUCUUGACAUAGUAGUGAAAAACAACAGCAGGAAAAAACAUUUUGUUGGUUGUAAGUGAAAGAUUAUUUGUUUCCUGCUGACUUUUAUUUUCUAUUGAUGGCAAAAAAAAAUCCAUCAAUGGGACUCCAUUAGUGAUAGUGGUUGUAUUGAGUAGAACUCUUGUAUCAAACAUAAAAUGUACCUAUAGCAUUACCUAAUGUUGAUGCUUUGUUGUUUUUCAUUGAUCACAACUAAAAGAAAAAGAAAAUAUAAAAACUGAUCAAUUAUUGCAUUUUAUUCAUGUUCUUAUUUUUCUAUACAUUUUCACUGUCAUUGCACCAUUAAUCAAACACUAAUGAACUUGAGAAUAUUAUAUUGAAUAGCAGCAGUCUUUGAAAUAAUUUAAAAUUCUUCUCAGUGUGUUGUAAUCUUGUGGAGAGAACGAUAAACGACUUUUGAAAACAUUUUAAGUUUCAAGAAAAUCAGAGAAAUGCUCUUUUUCCCCUUACCUCAAGGCCCUCUUUCCUCCAAGAGUAUGAAAUUUAAAUUUACAUGCUGUACCUAAGAUCAGAGAAAAGAAAUGGUUAAGUAAGUUUGCUAAAAUAGUCCUUGGAAGUUUUUCAUUGGUAAAGGUAUUUGUAAAUUUUAAACUUUUUUUUAAACAGAUAAAAUAUUGACAAAACUAUUAAUGUGCUCUUGCAAUAGCUUUCUAAUUUUUACCACACUAAAAGUGGAUUGAAGUCAUUGUCAAAAAUAUUCUAGUGCUUUUCCUCCUUCUGUUUUGUCUCGUUUGCAUAUAAGCUUGAAAAGAGAAUUUCUUUGGUAAAAAGAGUUUUAAAAUAGAUUUUAUAUCCUUUUGUUGAGUAGUAGUGGAGGACUUUCUCAAAUCAGGUGUAAAUGACUUACCUAUUUACAGUAGCAAGUGAGAAAAAAGCUGAAAUUUUCUGUUAAGAGUUUUGGUUAUGCCUCUGAGAACAAAGAGGAAGCAGCCAUGUUAGCAUUACUGAAGGCAAAACCAGCCUUGCAUUUACCUGCAUGAUGGUAGAGGGCAUUCUGAUUUCUGGUUAUUCUGUAGACUGUCUCAAAUCCUUUUUGUCUGUUCCUAUUUCACUAACAGAAUUCAGAAGGAGCUAGCUGAAAUAACCCUUAAUCCUCUCCUAACUGCAGGUAAGAAACAAAUUUUGUUAUUUUGAUUUCUAAAUUGUGGAACGAUAUCAGGAGAUUAAUGUAUUAUCCUUGUAUGUAUGUGCAGCAGAAGAGGCUAGCUAGCUAUGUUUGCUUCCUUAAAGCUUUGCAAGUGCUUUAAACAAAAAUUGCCUAGGUGAAUUAAAUUAAAUUAGGAGAAAAAUACUCUUUAGCAUGUAUCAUAUAUUCUGUACUUAUGAAUAUACUGAUCUUGUGCUUCUUGCUGAGAUUUAUUUGAGUGGUGUUGAUUUUUCUGUUGUUUUUCUGUGGAAUACAUUUAUUCACAAGUAUUUUGUAGAAACCUGUAAGGUUUUAAGUUUUCAAGUUAGUGUUUGUGUGCAAUCUGAACUGAUUUUCCAAAUUUAGAAAUUGUUGAAUAUGGUGUUACAAAAUGUAAAAGCAUUAAACAGGAGUAUAGUUGUUUCUGUUUGAUUUAUUCAGUAACUUGCCUAAAGGACAAAUUUUAUGUGCUAAGCUAUGGUUGUAGUUGUUGUUUUCUAGAAAACACAUAGUUGGAAUUAUUUACAUUUUAAGCAAAUAUCCUAAUGACUUGGGAAAAUUCUUAGCAGUAAAUUAAUUGGAAUUGUGAGAAGAAUCAAAUUCAGUGGAACUCAGAAUUUAAGAUUGGUUGACAAAUUGUAUUAAAAGUAGCUGGUUGAUUUUUUUCAUUUGUAUCUUAUAUAGUCUUCUGUUUAUUUUUGAAUGGUGACUGUAUGGUUGACAAAAUUUAUCAAAUUUAGAGAGCAAUAUUAUAAAUAAAUUGCAUAGAAGUAUGUGCUCAAGAAUGAGAGGGGAAGGGAUGCUAGAAUUAAGGCAGUGCUAUGAUUUGAUAUAAAAAUGUUUUGGUGUUUAACCUGUGUUUUUGCUACAAAUUGUGUUUGCUCAUGUUAAUCAGCACCAUCUCUGAAGUCUACUUGAGACAUAAUAAGGAAUAAUCCAUUUGCUACUUAUUGUGUGUGUUAACCACAUCCCCAGAUAAGGGGGAUCUGAUCCUGAUUUAUCCAGUGAAUUAACAGUUUUGCUUAUAUUUGUAGUUGCAGCCAUUUCAGUUUAAAAAGGAGACAUGAAUGUGAACUAAUUAUAAACAGAGUUGUAUGUCAGAUCUCAAAAUAUUACUUAAAAAAUAUACUGUUCAAUAGUGUAGCCACUAGCCAUAUUCUGACUAUGGACCAGGUUGUUGUGGUUAGUUGAAAAUGUGAUAUGCUGAAAGUGUGAAAUGCAUACUGGAUUUUGAAAACUUAAUACAAUUUGUAAAAGAAUAAAUAUUUUAAAGAUAUUUAUUACAUCUUGAAAUAAUAUUUGGCAUGUUUAGUAAGUGUUUUAAAAAUUGUAUUUUUUAUCAUUUUAAGAUAGUUAUUAGAAAAUUCAAAAUUACGUGUGUAACUUGCAUUAUAAUUUUGUUGAACAGUAUUGCUUUAGAGAAGAAGUAAAUCAGUAUUUCUUUUAGCCUUCUAAAUGGUGUGUCAAAUAUGUACCAUUUAGGAGGUCAAGUUAAAUUUGCUCUGUGGAAGAAUCACUUAACUUUCAGAGUAUAUUCUGAUAAUUUCCAUUACGUAAGAUGUAAAUAUCUGUUAAUUUAAAACUCACAUGUCUUAAAGUUGCAUGUCAGGCCAAACGUUUUUAAGGGUUUCUGUUGAUUUUCUGCAAAUGGCUUAAACCAGUGUAUGGAUAUACAUCUAGAGAACAUAGUAGACAUAUUGAAUGCUUUCAGAGCAGUAAUGUACUGGUACAUUUGGUAAAGGAAUGUACUUUAAGUGUUUAACCCAGGACUGUUUCCACAAGGUCACAGGAUUAUUUUAGAUGGAGUAAAAUAAUCUAAAAUAAUAAUAAUAUUUCUGUGAAAUAGAAAGUAAGUUUCACUUAUCGCGUAUUCUUUCUCUUUAUAUACCAGAUUUCAUUUAAGUUCAUGAAAUAAUGCUUAACAUUUAGUGAUUUAACUAGUGAAGCAGUAAAACUUUGGGCUUGCUUGUGCAUAGUAACAUGGAAUACUUAUAUCUAUUUUCUUUUGUCACAGUCUUUGGUGACUGUUGGCUAUUGAAAAGGACAUCUUUUAACUUCUCUAGUUCUUAAAUAAUCUGAGUUUCUUUGUGGCUGUUUAAGUGAUUCAGGAAAAAAACAAAUGUAAAAUACAAGUUUCUUAGGAAAUCAGAAGUUGUUUCUUACUACUUUGGGGAGAGACUUUUUCCAUAUACCUCAUAUGUAAAAUAAUGCAGAUGCUUUUGUGUGUCUUUGGAUUCUUCUGGGUAGAAGGUUAGUUCUUGUAAUUUUGAUAGAAAAGCCUAAAUUUGUAUUGUGUUUUUGCUUUCAUGCCAGAAAAUGCAAUAGAUUGUGGUAUUAUAUUUAUUUUAACUCAUUCCUGCAUAAAUGAGAAUUUUAGCUUUAUGGUAGUUGUAUUAUUUAGAUUUGUUAAUUUAUGUUGUAAUUAAAAAUGGGAUUCCACAAUCAUAAGUACAUUUAAAAUUUGUGGGUUAAUAUUGCAUGAGACCUUUGAAACCUUAUGCUUGCUACUUCCAGGUGCAAUUAUUUAAUUAUGGCUUUUGGUAUGGUGUGUGUGUGUGUGUGUGUGUGUGUAUGUGUAUGUAUGUAUGUAUGUAUGUAUAAACUUGUCAAAGUAUGUGACAGUGUUAAUUAUCCCUCAGGGAAGAAAUGUUAAGUGUAUCUGGGUACAUUCAGGAAAAUGCUGAAUGAGAUAUAGGAAAACCAGAAUUACUUGUACUAGGGAGAUUUGUCUUAAAUCCCAUCUUUUGUUUUAAUUAAUUAAUUUAAUUUCUUCCCUUUUCAUGAGGUAUAAAAAUAUAACCAAAACCCAUCAGGACGUAUUUCAUAUGGCUAAAAAUACAUGCUCUCAUGAAAAUAGGGAAGAGUUUUUCUGAUUUUUCUUGAAGUUCUCAAACACAUCUAAAUAGUAGAUAGAAAAGACAGUGGAAUGAGAUUACCAUCAUUACCCUAAGUACACAUAUAAAGACACAACUAGGGGCUGGGGAUGUGGCUCAAGCGGUAGCACACUCGCCUGGCAUACCUGGGGCCCCAGGUUAUAUCCUCAGCACCACAUACAAAAACAAAGAUGUUGUGUCCGCGGAGAACUAAAAAAUAAAUAUUAAAAAAUUCUCUCUCUCUUAAUAAAAAAAGGCACAACUGAUGUGACUAUACUUUGUGUACAACCAGAGAUAUGAAAAAUUGUGUUCCAUAUGUGUAAUAUGAAUUGUAAUGCAUUCUGCUGUCAUAUAUAACAAAUUAGAAUUAAAAAUAAAUAAAUUUUUAAAAAAGGUAAAAAAAUGGGAAAAUUAGAAACUAAUAUCACUGUACAUAUCACUUCCCUUUCUCAAGUACAAUCUGGCACAAAAUGUGUUGAGAAGAGAUUCCCCCCCAAAGGAAAAAAAAAAUCCACUGGGGUUCGGGAUAUAGCUCAGUUGGAAGAGUACUUGCAUCCUAUGCACAAGGCUCUGCGUUCAAUCCCCAGCACCACCAAAAAAAAAAAAAAAAAUCUAUGAUAUUACAUCCAAUUGCAUGAACAAGAUUUAAAGAGCCACAUAACCAUAAUGAGAGCACAAAGCACACAAAAGUCUUUCUAGAUUCCAAUCUAGAAAAAAAAAAAAAAAAAAACACAUAUCCCAAGGGAGGAGAACAAUGUUCUUGCGAUUACUUUUCUCUAAGGAGUAUCUUAGUAUGGUGAUGAAUGACCUUCCCCCCCUCCCCCAGCACUGAGGAUUGAACUGAGAAGUGCUCUACCACUGAGCUACAUCUGCAGUUUCAUUUAAUGUUUGUUUUGUUUUUGUUUUUCUUGAGACAGAGUCUCACCAAGUUGCCCAGGCUCUCCUCAAACUUACCAUUCUCCUACCUCAACCUCCUGAGUAGCUAGGAUUAUAGGCAUGCACUAUUGUACUGGCUACAAAUUAUAUGUUUUUAAAUCAGGAAAUUGUCAUUUAGAGAAUAUUAUUCCCAUGAGUCCUUUCUGUAUAAAUUACUAUAGAGCAAGCUUCACACAACCAAUUGGAGAGACAUUAUCAUUAAUAGGUUAUCCUAUAUUGUAGUUAAUUGUAUGGAAAAGAAACAAUGUAGCAAAAAUGAAAUCAUAAAAACAAAGACAUUUCACAUAGUAAUGUAGAUUAAAAUGUCAUCCAACUAUAAAUUCCCCCAAAAUGCAUGGACCAAGAUCCUACCCAAGAUUGCGACUUGAGGAAGGACUGACUGUAUCCUUUAAAGGCACAAACUCAUUUUUUCUUCUCUUUGGUACCCUGUGCCACACUGUAAAGAAGCCCAGGCUAUCUUGCUGGAGGGAGAGUCCAUAUGAAGAAAGCCCCUGACAUAUGAAAGACCACGUGGAAAGGGAGACUACAUGAAGCCAACAGUCAGCACCUUAUUUUGGGACAUAAAAAGCCAUUUCAGACCUUGUAGUCUAAAUCAGGCGUUCGCUGUAUGAGUGAGCCUAGGUGACACUAGAGCAGAACCUUGGUUAAAGUCUUGACUUACAAAAUUAUGAUAAAUAAAAUGGUUGUUUGUUUGGUAGUGGGGAUUGAAUUCAGAGGCUCUCGACCACUGAGCCACAUCCCUAGCCCUAUUUUGUAUUUUAUUUAGAGACAGUGUGUCACUGAGUUGCUUAGUGCCUCGCCAUUACUGAGGCUGGCUUUGAACUCGCGAUCCUCCUACCUCAGCCUCCUGAGCCACUGGAAUUACAGGUGUGCACCACCACUCCCGGCAAAUGGUUAUUUUUUUAAAGCUACUAAAUUUUGGAAUUUUUAAAAAUAUAGCAAUAGAUAACUAAAAUACUGUUUAUUGAUGAUUUGCAGGGCUUUUAUUUAAUGACCAGUUUUAUUAAAGAAUACCCCAUUUAUUUCUACUGUGAUCAGAAAACAAACUGAUAUUCAAUAUUUAAAAUUUUUUGAAACUGAUUAUUUUGCCAGGAAUAUAACCUAUCUUGCAAAUUUCCAUGAGGACUAGAAAAGAAUAUAUAUUCUGGAGUUGUUGGGUAUUGUCUGUCAAUGUCAAUAAGGUUAAGAUGGUUGAUAGUUUUGUUCAGACUCUUGUAUCAUUAGUGAUUUUUUUAUGGUGUUACUAUCAGUUAUUAAAAGGGUGUUAAAAAUUCAAAGUAUGGAUUUGUCUCUUCAGUUUUGUCAGCUUUCAUAUAUUUGGGGCAUAUAAAUGUUUGGUUGUAUGGUGUCAUGUUUCUGUGUUCUUAAAAAACACAUUAUGAUAUUAUGAAAUGUCUUUCUUAUUUCUUAUAAAACUCUUUAUCUUGAAUUUAAAUUCAUCUGAUGUUAGUAUAGCCUCUGCAUUCUUAUUGGCUUACUAUUCAUGAUGUAUUUUUAUCUAUUAUCUAUUUCUUGUUUUCGUUCUAUUCAUAUUUUUAUUUAAUGUAAUUAAAUAAAAUUACAUUAAAUAAAAAUUAAAUUUUAUUUAAUUUAUCCAUUUGCUUUUAGCUGUAUUGCUUUACAUUAUUGUUUUAGCAAUGUUUCCAGGAAUUAUGAAAUGCAUUCUUUAAUUUAUCACAGUUUUCAUAGUUUAAAUUGUGAUACUUUCUCACAUCUCCCCAAGUCUUUUGUGCUUUGUCGUCAUACAUAUUACAGCUGUAUACAUUUUUUACCUUAGUCAUGUUUCCAAGAAAUUAAAAGAAUAAAUAUGUAUACAUAUUGCCUUUUAUAUUUACCUACAUUUUACUAUUUCUAGUACUUUUCAUUUCUGUUUAUGGUGCAUUGUCUUUAAAAAUAUCUACCCCAAAUUCUUCACAUUCCUGUAUCAUGUUGCUUCUCUCAUUAUGAAGUAAUAUCUAUUUUCCUACCUGCUGAGUCUGGGCUGGUAUUUUGUCUUGUUUUAAUGAACAAAAUAUGUUUUUGGUGAAAGUGAUGCCAUGCCAAUCCUAGACCUAACACCUUGGGAAGGUGUAUACCUUCUACUUUUAUCCUCUAGGAAUCCAAUCAACAAAUAAAAAAUUUUAGAAUGACUGAAUGACUAAAAGCAUUUGAGGAGAAAAGCCUGACCCAACCAGUUGAGCUAGCAGACAUGUAAACGAAGCUAUUUUGUCAGUUCUACCUUUGGUUAAACAAUCCCUGCUAAAGGAAACCACAUAAGCAGUAAUAAAUACCUAGAGCAAAGGACCCAUCAGGUUAUGUAAUGCCAAAUUAUAGAAUAAGGAGAAAUAACAAAGAAUUUUUAUUUUAAGUCAUUAAGUUUAUUACACAGUGAACUAAAACACACAGUGCAUCUGUUUCUAGCUGGUGGAUCAUCUCCUUUUAUCCUGAAGAGGUUCUUUUAGCAUUGUUCAUAGUAGAGAUCUAUUGGUAUUGAAUUUUCUUACUUUUUAUUGAUUUGAAAAUGUCUAUUCUGCUUUCAGUUUUGAAGAGUAUUUAUCCUGGAUUAGCAGUUUUUGUCUUCUAGCACCUUAAACCUUUCCAUUAACUUUAACCUCUCAUUUCUGAUAAGAAGUCAGCUAUUAUUUUAGUCAUUUUUACCAAUGCAUAACACACCACUUUUUUCUAAUUGCCUUCAAGACCUUUUUCCUCCUAAUUGAUUAUUUACAGUUGACUCUGAUGCAUCUAGAUGUGAUUUGCUUUGUAACUAACCUUAGUAUCCACUGAGUUUCCUAAAUCUGUUAACAUCUUUUUUGUUAAUUUGGGAUAAUUUUAGCCAUCAUUAUCUUAAAUAUUUUCUGUACAACUUAUGCCUCUAUUCUUUUAGAAAUCUAAUUAUAUGUAUGUUAAGUCACUUUGUACUGAUAGUAACCACAUCUCUAUUUUUUUCUUUCUGAUUUUUAGACCAGAUAAUUUUUAUUGGUCUAUCUCCAAGUUAACUUUUUGUUGUUUUUGCACUAUACAAUCUGAUGAUAGAUUUGUUUCAUGAAUUUUUCAUUUCAAAUACUAUACUUUUUAUUUCUUUUAAAAGAAAUUUUUCAUUUAUAUAGUGACACCCAUAUCUACUUAUUCAUUAUGAUUAAGCUUUUCUUUAACUCCUUGAAAUUAGUUAUAAAAACUAUUUAAAUUUUUUUUCUGCUAAUCCUAACAUCUGGGUCAGCUCACGGAACUUUUUUUAUAUGUGAUAUUUUCUCUUGUUGUUCUCAUUUUUCUAUCUUCUUUGCAUUCUGGCAAAAUUUAAUGAUAUUCUACAUGCCUAUAAUCCCAGCGACUCAGGAGGCUAAGGCAGGAGGAUCAAGAGUUCAAAGCUAGCCUCCGCAACUAAGGGAUGCACUUAGCAACUCAAUGAGACCCUGUAUCUAAAUAAAAUGCAAAAAAAGGGCUGAGGUUGUGGCUCAAUGGUUAAGCACCCCUGGGUUCAAUCCCUGGUACCAAAAAAAUUUUUUUUAAUUAUAUUCUGGUCAUUUAUAGAUGACACAUCAUAGGAAGUCUGGAUUAUGUUGUCUUCCUAUAAAGGAUAUUCUGUUUUAUGUGUCAUGCAGGCUAAUUACUGGUAAAUUGUUUUGAUCAUAUUAGAUUUGGUGGUAUUAUUAUUAUUAUUAUUAUUAUUAUUAUUAUUAUUAUUAUUUGGUACCAGAGAUUGAACUCAGGGUACUCAAUUACUGAGCCACAUCCCCAGACCUAUUUUGUAUUUUACUGAGAUACAGGCUCUUGCUGAGCUGCUUUAGCACCUUGAUUUACUACGGCUGGCUCUGAGCUCGUGAUCCUCUUGCUUCAUCCACCCCAGUCACUGGGAUUAUAGGCAUAUUCCACCGCGCCUGGCUAGGUUUGGUAUUUUUCUUUUUUUCCAUAUUUCAUGGUGCAUUAUACUUGUACAUAAUGGUGGGAUUUGUUGUUAUGUUUUCAUACAUGUGUACAAUAUAGUGAUAAAACUUAGCCAAUAUCUUUCUCGAGUAUUUCUCUUUUACCUGCUUUCCUCUCUCCCCUGAUCCCUUUCCUCUAUUCUAGUGAUCUCCCUUUGAUUGUCGUGAGAUUCCUUUCACACACACACACACACCUUUCUUUUCCUUUUUCCUUUCUGGCUGCCACAUACAUUUUUAGCAUGAAUCAAUUUUGGUUUCAAAUUUAGGUCUACCAUUUUCCCUUUACUCUUUUGUGUGUGGUUCUUUUUGCUAAGGCUUAUUUCUGAACUCUUAAUUAAGUACCCGAUAUACUAGUGAAGCUGCUGCAACCUGACUCUGCUGGAAACCUAAUUUCUUCCAACAUUGCCAUUUAGCAUCAUCUUCAGUCUCCUUUAUAGCAGUCAAACUCUGCUAAGCCUUAAAGAGUCUCAUCUGGUACAUUCAUAUCAAAAAUGAAUUUCCUCCAGGCUUUUAGUAUUCUCUCUCUAACACACACACACAUAAUCACAUUGCACACACCAUACAUAGCUCAGACAUUCUUGUCCACAAAAUUCCAACCACUAUGAUAAUCUUGCACUUUGAUAAUUUUCUCCUUAACUCAGUAUGACCACCAUCUUACUUGAGCUUCAUCCCCCUAAUUAAGUGUGUUUUGUGCACCAGGCCUACAGUCAUGUCUGAAAUUAAUUCCUGAAAAUGUUUAGUGUUUCUAGUUUUAUACUCUUUUGUGUCAGGAAAACAAAUCCAGUACAAUAGAUCUAUAAUAGUUUCAAGUAAAAGUACUAAAUUACUUAUAUCCUUGCCCAUCAAUAGUGGUAGAGACACUUAGGUGAACUUACAUAGAAACUGCAACAUCUUACAUACUCAACAAAAAUUUCAUUGCCCAUGGGACCCAAAAUUAAUUGAAAGAGUAAACCCCAAAAUGGAUAUCUUAAAAAUAAACUGGUCAAAAUCAGUAAGGCAAUCAGACUUAAAUAAUCAUAUAUUUUACCAAUAGCACUAGCUUAAAAGUAUGGGUCUACAAUAACUAGAAAAAUACAAGUUAAUGGCUAGAGUCAUAAAAGUUUCUAUUACAAUCCAAUAGGCAGUCUGUUAUGAUGCUUUAAUAUUAUAUGAUAGUUGUGAAAUGAUUACAAACUAAUAAUGAACAUAAUCUAUUUGCAGAUUAAAAUGUUCUUCCCUGUAUUAUCUACAAAGUUUAGACCUCAAAAUGCCCUGGAAAAUAAAUUUCUUAAGUCUCAUCAAAAUGAGCUGCCAGGUUUUUUCCUACAUUUGACAUGACACAGUGCCAAGAUUUCUAGUCCUGAAUACACACUUUCUAUAGGGAAGAGACAUUUAUCUUGGCAACUAACAGAUCAUUUAUCUCAUUUCAUACAGCCAAUUUUAGUUGUAAGAAAAGAAAUGUUUAUGCAUUUAUUCUGCUGACUUUAAUCUAUAAUCUAAUCAGGGAUCAACAAACUUUUCCUGAAAAGAGACUGAUAAUAAAUAUAUUAGACUUUGUAGGCAAGUCUUCAUUGCUACUCAAGUGCCAGUGUAGCACAAAAACAGCCUAGACUGUGGGUAAAUAAUAUAAGCUUCUGUGUUCUAAUAAAACUUUGUUUACAAAAGCAAGUGUUAUUGUUGGACACCUUGGUGUGCUUGCAACUACUCAGAAAGCUGAGGCAGGAAGAUUACUUAAGGAAGGAAGGAGGGAGGGAGUGAGGGAGGAAAGAAAGAAAGAAAAAAGCAAUAAAGAGAAUAAUGAAAAAAAAAAAAAAACAGUGUCAGGCUGACAGCUAUGAUUUGCUCAUCACUGUUCCAGAGUAUUAAUUAAUGUUUAUGCUCACAACAGAUGUUUGGCUAGGCUGUAUAUAUACAUACAUACAUGAAGGCAAUUUUGUUCUUUUUGUUUGCUUUCUUUUAUUUUUUCCAUUUUUUUUUGUUGAUACAUUACAGUCAUAAAUCAUGGCAGUAUUUGUCGUUACAUAUUUCCACAUGCACAGUAUAACACUACAGUUUGGCCAAUAUCAUUCCCCAGUAUUUUCCCUUCACUCCUCCCUCUCCUGGUCCCUUUCCUACACUCUACUGAUCUUUUGAUUUUCACUUUUCUUUUCCUUUUUCCUCUCUUGCUUUCACAUACGAGAGAAAACAUAUGCUCCCUUGACCUUAUGAGUUUAGCUUAUUUUGUGUAACAGAGUGUUCUCAAGUUUCAUCCGUUUUCCAGCAAAUGACAUAAUUCACCUUUAUGGCUGAAUAAAGCUCCAUUCUGUGUAUAUGCCACAUUUUCUUUAUUUAUUCAUCCUUGAUAAGCACCUAGUUUGGUUCCAUAGUUUGGCAACUGUGAAUUGUGCUGCUAUAAACAUGGGUAUGCAUGUACUACUCUAGUAUUAUGACUUUAAUUCUUUAGGAUAAACAUUGAGUAGUUGUAUAGCUGGGUUAUAUGGUGGUUUCCUGCCUAGUCUUUUGAGGAACCUCCAUACUGAUUUCAAUAGUGGUUAUAUUCAUUUACAAUCCUAUCAACAGAGAAAAAAGUGUCCCUUCUUUUCCACAUUCUUCUAGCAUUUAUUAUUGUUCAUAUUUUUUUAAGUAGUUGGACACAAUAUAUUUAUUUUUAUUUAUUUAUUUUAAUGUGGUGCUGAGGAUCGAACCCAGGGCCUUGCACGUGCUAGACAAGCGAUCUGCUGCUGAGCCACAACCCCAGCCCCAUAUCGUUCAUAUUCUUGAUGCCUGCUAUUCUGACUAGAGAUAAAAGCUCACUGUAGUUUUGAUUUGCAUCUCCCUAAUUGCUAAUGAUGUUGAACAUUUUCAUAGAUUUGUUGUCCAUUUUUAUUUCUUCUUUUGAGAAGUGUCUGUUUAAUUCAUUUGCCCAAUUAAGCUAGGUUAUUUGAGGUUUCGGUGUUAAGUUUUUUAAAGUUUCUUAUAUAGUCUGGAUAUUAAUCCUGUGUCAAAAGAGCAGUUGGCAGGGCUGGGGAUGUGGCUCAAGCAGUAGCGCGCUCGCCUGGCAUGCAUGCAGUCCAGGUUCGAUCCUCAGCACCACAUACAAACAAAGAUGUUGUGUCCACCGAAAACUAAAAAAUAAAUAUUAAAAAAAAUUCUCUCUCUCUCUUUUAAAAAAAAAGAGUAGUUAGCAAAUAUUUUCUCCCAUUCCGUAGGUUCUUUCUUCAUGUUACUAUUUGUUUCCUUUGCUGUGCAGAAGCUUUUUAAUUUGAUGCCAUUCUGUUUAUUAACACUUGUCAUUAUUUUCUGAGCUUUAGGAAUUCUAAUAAGAAAGUCAUUGCCUGUACCUAUAUGCUGGAGUCUCAAACCUAUAUUUUCUUCCAAGGAUUUGCAUAGUUUCUGGUCUAAUUCCUGGGCUUUUGAUCUCUUUCAAGUUUGUACAGGGUCUAGUCGUAUUUGUCUACAUAUGGAUAACCAAUUUUCCUGGCACCAUUUGUUUAAAAGCCUGUCUUUUCUCCCAAUAUGUUUUUGGCACCUUUGUCAAGGAUCAGAUGACUGUUAACUGUGUUGGAUCUUUUUCUGUGUCUUCUCUUCUUUCCCAUUGGUCUAUGUAUCUGGUUUUAUGACAGAGACUUGCAGUGGUUAUUUCAAUAGCUUUGUAGUAUAAUUUGAAGUCAGGUAUUGUGAUGAUGCCUCCAGCUUGCUUUAUUGACUUAUAAUUGCUUUGGCUAUUUUGAAUAUUUUAUUCUUCCAAAUGGGUUUCAGGACUGUUUUUUCUAGUUCUGGAAAAAUGAAAUUUAUUAUUAUUAUUAUUAUUAUUAUUAUUAUUAUUAUUAUUUUAAAUUUAUGACAAUAGAAUGCAUUACAAUUCAUAUUACAUAUAUAGAGCACAAUUUUUCAUAUCUCUGGUUGUAUACAAAUUAUAUUCACACCAAUUCAUGGGUAUUUUGAUGGGAAUUGCAUCAAAUCUUUAUGUUGCUCAUAAAAUCAAUUUCAAACAUAUACAAUCAUAUUAGUAGUGAUUUUAGUGUCCAAAAAGAGAUCUACUAAACAAUAAUUACUAGGCUGGUUUGGUGACUUGUAGUCCUAACUACUCAGAAGACCAAGCCAGGAGGAUUGCUUGAGUCCAGGAGUUGGAGAUCAGGUUAGGCAACAUACCAAGACUCCCAUCUUAAAAAUAAUAAUAAUUACUGAUGUCAAAACACAUCUCAAUCAUUAUGAUAGUCACUAACUCUUCAUUGUUUUCCUUGAAACUCUAAUAUACAAUUAGUGAAUGUCAAUUUAGGACUAAUUGUGCUGUUUUAUAGAGGAGAAAGCUGAUUAUAAUGGUAAAUGAAAUCAGCUAGCAUGAACUGAUUUGUGUUUAUUUAAUUACAAUUAUCAUGCUGAUGACUCUACAUAUUAAGUCUCCACCUAUAGUCCCCUAGGUGCUAAUUUUAAAAACAUGAGUUUUCAUUAAAAAUAAGAAAAGAAACCCCUCCAUAUGCAUUUCAAUAAUUCAAAUUGUAUCAUAAUUUGACUAUUAACACAAAGGAAAAUCAAUGCAACUAAUUCAGAUUUAAAUUUAAGAUUACACAGUGCAAAAGAGGAAAUAGUCUUGGAAAGGGAAGUAGAAAAAUGUAAGAUCCCUCUUAGAGGUCAGAAAAAAUAAAUUCAAAAAUGUGAUUUUUUUUUAAAGGUAGUGUUAACUUGAAGUGGAAAACAAAAAGCAAAAAACCUUUGAAGCAAAGUCAGUUGUGUUUACAAGGGCCUUUGGGUUUUUUUGAUGUUUUAGUGCUUCUGGUUUUUAAAAUGUUGAUUUGUGGAGGAUGGGCACAGGGGAUUGAAUCUAGGUGCUUAACCACUGAUCCACAUCACCAGCCCUUUUUUACAUUUUUUUUUUAUUUUGAGAUAGGGAAUCCAUAAAUUACUUAAGGCCUUGCUAAAUUGCUGAGGGUGACUUUGAACUCAAGAUCCUCCUGCCUCAGCCUCCAGAGCCACUGGGAUUACAGUGUGCAUCAUGAAACCGGGCCUUAAAUGUUGAUUUUAUAAUCCUUUCUUUUUAGCUGAUAAGAGAAAUUACAAAAUACAGAAUACUUGCAAACUACAAAAUAUAGGAUACUUACAACUAAAGGUGCUUUGUUAAAUGAUCAGAGUUUAACUAAAGUUUCAAGCAGUGACUCUCAAACUGGGAGAGUGAUUCUAGUCUUAUCAAGAGAAGUUUAGAAAUGCCUGGGGGCAUUUUGUUGUUGUUUCACCAUGACUGAGGAAACUACUAACAUUAUUUGGCCAGGCCCAUGGAUAGUAUAUAACCUUCAGCUAGUAGGAACAGUCCAAACCAAAGUACCAAUAGAGUUCUAUCAAGAAACCCUGGUGCAAAGAAGCAAUCUACCAAGGUCUCUUACUUAACAGCAAGGAAAACACAGUUUCAGUUAAGUAAGAGAACAGAGCAGGUGCCUGGUGCAGUGAUGCAUGCCUGUAAUCCCAGUGGCUCUGGAGGCUGAGGCAGGAGGAUUGUGAGUUCAAAGCCAGCCUCAGCAAAAGUAAGGCCCUAAACAAUUCAGUGAGACCCUAUCUCUAAAUAAAAUACAAUGUAGGGCUGGAGAUGUGGCUCAGUGGUCUAAAGCCCUUGAGUUUAAUCCCUGUUACCAAAGAAAAAUAGACCACCCAGGUGACUCGUUUGUACCAGUAGGUCUACCUAAAACGAAAAGGGAUUUUAUGCAAUCAAAUUGUUUUAUUAUCCAUUUAAAUAUAAUUCUUUAUUUCUUUAUGUUUGUCAAGAAGUAAAUAUAUUUAAGAUAACAAUGAAAAAUAAUAAAAGAAUGACAAGUAUAGGAACCUAAUGAUGACUUACACUUUUUGAUUACAGACUUGAGAUUCAUCUGAAAUGACAAUGCAAUCCCUAGCUAUUGCAACAGAAAUCUUAACCUCUCAGUGAAAAAAAAAAAAAAAAAAAAGAGGGAUGUUGAGACACCUUCAAUCAUCUUUUCUCACUUCUGCGUAAGUACCAAGAGAGGUUGGCCAAAAAUAUUUUAAAACCUAACAAUACUUUUAAACUUGACUUUUCUUUAAAAUAAGUGCAAGUAUAUGGUAUGGCCUAGUGUUAAUUUACAAUCCCUACUUUCUUAUGCUGUGACUGUCUUUAAAUGUGCCCAGUUUGAACUGAGAUGUGCCAUAAGUCAGAUAUCAAAGACUUAUUGUGAAGAAUGUAAAAUAACAGUUAUAUUUUUAUUUUGAUUACAAGUUAAAAGAAUGACAUUUUGAAUAUAUUGAAUUAUGUAAAAUGCAUUAUUAAAUGAAGCUCGUCUGUCUUUUUAAAAUAUGACUUCUAGAAAAUUUAAUUUACAUGUAGAGUUAAUAUUAUAUUUCUAUUGGUGGUUCUAAGGGAUCAGUGAGAAAUAAGAGAAAGAUCAUGUUCAGAUUCUCUAUUUCAUCAUUUGGGUUUGAUGUCAUUCACUGGUCCUCUUAUGUAUUCCAAACCAUUUCAAAUUUCAUGUGCAUUUGGGUAAGGCUGAGCUUUUCAUACUAAUCGCAGAGAACUUACUUUCCCAUGUAUGUUUGUUCAGUGUCCCCCACUGAGUAUAGUGUUCAUAAUAGUGUUUAUGGUCCUGUUUCUAAUUUUAUUUUAUUUUUUUAAAGAGAGAGAGAGAGGAGAGAGAAAGAGAGAGAGAAAUUUUAAUAUUUAUUGUUUAGUUUUUUAGGCCGACAAAACAUCUUUGUUUGUAUGUGAUGUUGAGGAUCGAACCCGGGCCGCACGCAUGCCAGGCGAGCACACUACCGCUUGAGCCACAUCCCCAGCCCCUGUUUCUAAUUUUAUACUGCAUGCAUCAAUUAAAAUGCUGAAGAUUCAGGAGGGCUUGCUUUGCUUCAAUGUAUGCUCUGGUAGACUAUAUGUUAUCCCGAAGAACAUAUUUUCUCCUCCACUCUCCCUGUCUCCUCCAAGAGGUGCUUGUGAUCUUCCAAGCACACUUUGGGAGGAUGUUAUCAGCCUUACUUUGUUUCAGUGAGAAGAGGACAGUUUCCAGAGUAGGCACUAUCUAAAAAUGUCUCCUUAGUGAUGAAAGCAUUUAUUGCCAAGACUUUUGUUGCUUUGUCAAUUGUCUAUAUUGGCUGUAACAGCCAGGAUUUUGCUGUAUAAUUAUUUAAGCCACAUAAAUGGGCAAUCUUUCAUAUAUUAUCUCAUUUUCUUCUUAAAAAAUGAACUAUAAAAUUUUUAACUUUGACCCAUAUUUGUAUAGAUGAAAUAUCUGAGACUCAGAAAAUUUAAUGAUUUGCCUAUAGUCACACAAUUAGACUUUUGACUCUUACUACAAUCCUUUUGGCUAUAUUCCUUACUUCUGCUGUUGUUCCGGUAAGGAAGUAAUUUAUAUUUCUGAAAACUAAAUGGAUAAAGCCCAACAGUGCACUGUGGAAACUGAGAUGUACAG